GAGAGAGUGAGUGAGAGAGAGAGAGAAAGAUAUCAGUGUAACUUUAAUAUAAGAUAUAAUGUAGUCUUCUUUAUGCUUAAGUUAUCGUAUUGGACAUUGCAGUACAUUGUUAAUUAUUAAUGGUAACGAAAUGACGGACGAAGCUUUACGUAACCACUGGAUUCGCUUGAAAUAGCAGGAAGUAUACGAAAAAUUAUUCUUUCAACAAGGAGAUCAUAACUGUUACCGCUCUCUUCCCACCGGAUUUACUGAAAAACCCAGUGAAAUACUGGGGUCGAUAUAAUUGAUUAUAUAUAUCAGUGUAAGCCUUUGUGGACUUCUGUGCAUUUUAGAUACCGAUAUCAGUGCCAAAUCUAGUUUGUGAACAAAAGGCGGGAGUGGGACCAUAAUACGGAGGCUCCAGCGGGUUUCGAAUACCCGAUCAUCAGUUUAUUUGAUUAACAGUCUGACCAACUUACCUAUGAAAACACGUCGGUUUGUAUGUUUAAAUUAUUGUGACGUCGAUAAUUUUAAGGUUAAACUAUACUGAAACUGUUGUGUCCAGUUAUAAUGCCGUUCAUUGUUGCUAUGGUAAUAGGUUGUUACAUUUAUUCUAGUAUCAUUAUCAAUAUUUGUUCAGCAAACAAUCUCACUAUAACGUCGGCUUAAGUGGAGAUUACGUGAGAAAUAUCCGUACAACAACUCUCGAACCAACAUAAGAUGCAUAACUUAAGUUAUCUGCGUUUACAGGAAAGAGAGAUAUCAGCAUAACUCUUGUUUUAAUAUAAGAUAUAAUGUCGUCUUCUUUAUGGUGAGUUAUCAUAUUGGACAUUACAUACGCUACAAUCUUCAACACUGACAGCAGAGGUUUUACGUAACCACUGGAUCUACUGGAAAUAGCAGCCAAGCAUAUGAAUAAUUUCUCAUUCAAUAAGAUCAACAUUUUUUAUUGUUUUCUUCACUCCUGGUUUAUUAAAAGAAACAGUGAAAUGA